UACAGAGGUCCCAAGCGUUGUUCGGAUUCACUGGGCGUAAAGGGUGCGUAGGCGGUCGGGUAAGUCUGAUGUGAAAUCUCCAAGCUCAACUUGGAAACGGCAUUGGAUACUAUUCGGCUGGAGGAAUGGAGGGGAGACUGGAAUUCUCGGUGUAGCAGUGAAAUGCGUAGAUAUCGAGAGGAACACCAGUGGCGAAGGCGAGUCUCUGGACAUUUCCUGACGCUGAGGCACGAAAGCCAGGGGAGCAAACGGG
rnacentral:rRNA from 1 species